rnacentral:rRNA from 1 species
UACGAAGGGUGCAAGCGUUAAUCGGAAUUACUGGGCGUAAAGGGUGCGUAGGCGGUUAUUUAAGUCUGCCGUGAAAUCCCCGGGCUCAACCUGGGAAUGGCGGUGGAUACUGGAUAGCUAGAGUGUGUCAGAGGAUGGUGGAAUUCCCGGUGUAGCGGUGAAAUGCGUAGAUAUCGGGAAGAACACCCGUGGCGAAGGCGGUUCUCUGGACAGUUCCUGACGCUGAGGCACGAAGGCCAGGGGAGCAAACGGG